rnacentral:rRNA from 1 species
AACGCGAAGAACCUUACCUGGGCUUGAACCGCACAGGACCAUCUUUGGAAACAGAGACUUCCCGCAAGGGACCUGUGUAGAGGUGCUGCAUGGCUGUCGUCAGCUCGUGCCGUGAGGUGUUGGGUUAAGUCCCGCAACGAGCGCAACCCUUACUCGUAGUUGCCACCCGCAAGGGGGAACUCUACGAGGACUGCUCCGGAUAACGGAGAGGAAGGUGGGGAUGAGGUCAAGUCAGCAUGGCCUUUAUGUCCAGGGCUACACACGUGUUACAAUGCGCGCCACAAAGCGUCGCGAACCCGCGAGGGGGAGCUAAUCGCAAAAAAGCGCGCUCAGUUCGGAUUGCAGUCUGCAACUCGACUGCAUGAAGCCGGAAUCGCUAGUAAUGGCGCAUCAGAACGGCGCCGUGAAUACGUUCCCGGGCCUUGUACACACCGAUAGC